rnacentral:tRNA from 2 species
GCACCCAUAGCUUAAUUGGAUAGAGCAUCUGACUACGGAUCAGAAGGUUGGAGGUUCGAGUCCUCCUGGGUGCACCA